CAUUGGGACUGAGACACGGCCCAAACUCUUACGGGAGGCAGCAGUGGGGAAUCUUGCACAAUGGAGGAAACUCUAUGCAGCGAUGGUGUAAAGCAAAGAAGCCCUUGGGUUGUAAAGCUCUUUCGUCGGGGAAGAAAAUGAC
rnacentral:rRNA from 1 species